rnacentral:rRNA from 1 species
AACGCUGGCGGCGUGCUUAACACAUGCAAGUCGAACGAGGAUUACAUUGGAAGGGGCUUCGGCCUGGAAGAGUGUAAUUCGAGUGGCGGACGGGUGAGUAACGCGUGAACAAUCUGUCCCGGACAGGGGAAUAACACUUGGAAACAGGUGCUAAUACCGCAUAAGACCACGCCCUCGCAUGGGGAGGGGUAAAAGGAGCAAUCCGGUUCGGGGUGAGUUCGCGUCCGAUUAGAUAGUUGGUGAGGUAACGGCCCACCAAGUCGACGAUCGGUAGCCGACCUGAGAGGGUGAUCGGCCACAUUGGAACUGAGAGACGGUCCAAACUCCUACGGGAGGCAGCAGUGGGGAAUAUUGGGCAAUGGGCGAAAGACCCUGACCCAGCAACGCCGCGUGAGUGAAGAAGGCUUUCGGGUUGUAAAGCUCUGUUAUAGGGGACGAAGGAAGUGACGGUACCCUAUAAGGAAGCCCCGGCUAACUACGUGCCAGCCGCAGC